ACGGAAGGCAGCAGUGGGGAAUAUUGCACAAUGGGGGAAACCCUGAUGCAGCAACGCCGCGUGAGUGAAGAAGUAUUUCGGUAUGUAAAGCUCUAUCAGCAGGAAAGAUAAUGACGGUACCUGACUAAGAAGCCCCGGCUAACUACGUGCCAGCAGCCGCGGUAAUACGUAGGGGGCAAGCGUUAUCCGGAUUUACUGGGUGUAAAGGGAGCGUAGACGGUUUUGCAAGUCUGAAGUGAAAGCCCGGGGCUCAACCCCGGGACUGCUUUGGAAACUGUAGAACUAGAGUGCAGGAGAGGUAAGUGGAAUUCCUAGUGUAGCGGUGAAAUGCGUAGAUAUUAGGAGGAACACCGGUGGCGAAGGCGGCUUACUGGACUGUAACUGACGUUGAGGCUCGAAAGCGUGGGGAGCAAACAGGAUUAGAUACCCUGGUA
rnacentral:rRNA from 1 species